CGCUAGCGGCGUGGAUUAGGUAUGCAAGUCGAACGGGAAGCUUGCGGUCGAUCCUUCGGGUGAAACUGCUUGUGGAACGUGGCGAAAGGGUGAGUAAUGAAUAGAUAACCUGCCCUCGAGACCGGGGUAAUCCACCGAAAGGUGGGGUAAUACCGGAUAGAAUAAAAACUCUUCGGGGAUUUUAUUAAAGGGUGGCUUCGGCUUCUGCUCGAGGAGGGGUCUAUUUCCUAUUAGCUUGUUGGUGAGGUAACGGCUCACCAAGGCAAAGAUGGGUAGGGGACCUUAGCGGGUGACCCUCCACACUGGGACUGAGACACUGCCCAGGUUCCUACGGGAAGCUGCAAUCGAGAAUCCUCCGCAAUGGGCGAAAGCCUGACGGGGUGACGCCGCGUGUACGAUGAAGGCCUUUCAGGUUGUAAAGUACUGUCAGGGAGUAUGAAAGAUAGUGGGUAUAAUAUGCCUGCUAUUUGACGUCAAUCCCAAAGGAAGUCACGGCUAAAUUUGUGCCAGCAGCCGCGGUAAUACAAAUGUGGCUAGCGUUGUUCGGAAUCACUGGGCAUAAAGCGCACGUAGGCGGUGCAGUAAGUUAAUUCGUGAAAUCCCCCGGCUUAACCGGGGAACUGCGGUUAAUACUGCUGUACUUGAGUACAAGAGGGGAGAGUGGAAUUCUGGGUGUAGCGGUGAAAUGCGAAGAUAUCCAGGAGAAGGCCGGUGGCGAAAGCGACUCUCUGGCUUGAUACUGACGCUGAGGUGCGAAAGCGUAGGUAGCGAACGGGAUUAGAUACCCCGGUAGUCUACGCCGUAAACGAUGGGCACUAGGCGGUGGAGGCGGUUAUAGCUUUCUCCGUCGUAGCAAAUGCGAUAAGUGCCCCGCCUGGGGAGUACGGUCACAAGAUUAAAACUCAAAGGAAUUGACGGGGGCCCACACAAGCGGUGGAGGAUGCUGCUUAAUUCGAUAUACGCGUAGAACCUUACCGAGAUUUGACAUGCUGGGAUUAACCCGUCGAAAGGCGGGGGAUUGCCUUACGUGUAACCAGCACAGGUGCUGCAUGGCUGUCGACAGUUCGUGUCGUGAGAUGUUAGGUUAAGUCCUGUAACGAGCGAAACCCCUAUGCUUAGUUGCCAGCGCGUCAUGGCGGGAACUCUAAGCAGACUGCCCCGGCCAACGGGGAGGAAGGUGGGGAUGACGUCAAGUCAGCAUGGCCCUUAUGUCUCGGGCUGCACGCGUCCUACAAUGGGCAGUACAAAGAGUACCGAAUCCGCGAGGUAGAGGUAAUCUCCAAAGCUGUCCUCAGUUCGGAUUGCAGGCUGAAACUCGCCUGCAUGAAGGUGGAAUCGCUAGUAAUCGCGGGUCAGCUAUACCGCGGUGAAUACGUCCCUGGGCCUUGUACACACCGCCCGUCAAGCCACCCGAGUCGGGUACACCCGAAAUCCGAGGCCUAACCAUUUAUUUGGAGGGAUCGGCUGAAGGUGGAUCUGGUAAGGUGGACUAAGUCGUAACAAGGUA
rnacentral:rRNA from 1 species